GGGGGAAACGUUUCAUCGGACUACUGAGGCGUAAGCGCACGUAGUGCGGGCUAGUAAGUCAGGGAGUGAAAUCCCGGGGCUCAACCCCGGAACUGCCUUUGAUACUGUUAGUCUUGAGUAUGGGAGAGGUGAAUGGAAUUCCGAGUGUAGAGGUGAAAUUCGUAGAUAUUCGGAGGAACACCAGUGGCGAAGGCGGCUCACUGGACCAUUACUGACGCUGAGGUGCGAAAGCCGUGGGGGAGCAAACAGGGAUUAGGAAUACCCUGGGUAAGGUCCACGCCCGGUAAACGAAAUGAAUGGGUUAGCCGUUUGGGGGAAGUUUAACCUCUUCGGGGAUGGCGCAAGCUAUACCGCAUUAAAAACCAUUCCGCCCUGGGGGGAAAGUACGGGUCGGCCAAAGAAAUUAAAAACAUCCUAAAGGGGAAUUGGAACGGGGGGGCCCCCCGCACAAAAGGCGGUGGGAAAGCAUGUGGGUUUUUAAUUUCCGAAGCAACCCGCGCAGAAAACCUUACCCAAGGCCCUUUUGGACAUCCCCCGAUCGGCGGGUUUUAGUGGGAGAACAACCUAAUCCCCUUCCAGGUUUCGGCUUGGGGAUCGGAAGAAACAGGGUUGCUGGGCAUGGGCUUGGUUCCGUCAGCCUCCGUUGGUCGAUGAAAGAAAUGUUGGGGGUUAAAGGUCCCCGGCCAAACGAGGCGGCCCAACCCGUCGGCCCCCUUUAGGUUUGCCCCAGCAAUUUCCAGGUUUGGGGCCACCUCCUAAAGGGGGAACCUGCCCGGGGUGGAAUAAAGCCGGAGAAGGGAAAGGGUGGGGGGAUGGACGGUCAAAGUUCCCUCAAUGGGCCCCUUUACGGGGGCUUGGGGCUUACAACACGUUGCUUACAAAUGGGUGGGUGGACAGGUGGGGGCAAGCGAGCCACGGCGGAGGUGGUGAAGCCUAAAUCUCCAAAAAGCCCAUCCUCAAGUUUCGGGAUUUGGCACUCUGCAAACUCGGAGUGGCAUGGAAGUUGGGAAAUCGCUAGGUAAUCCGCGGGAUCAGCAUGCCGGGGGGGGAAAAAAAAAUAUUUUCCCGGGGCCUUUUGUAACACACCCGCCCCGUCACACCCAUGGGGAAGUUGGGUUUUUACCCCGAAAGGCGCUUGUGCUAACCCGCAAAGGAGGCAAGGCGACCACGGGUAGGGUCAGCGACUGGGGUGAGCAAAAAAAGGGGGCCCCAACACAGAGAGAGAGAAAAAAGGGGAAGGGGGGCGGGUGUUUUUUUUGG
rnacentral:rRNA from 1 species